AUGAUGUCAGAUGAGAUGAGCUGCUUUUCCUGUGCUAAAGAGGGGUGCAUUGACACAGCGAGGAAAAGUAACAGACAGAAAAGCCAUGAUGGGAAAGAGGAAGCGUUCCAGAAGAGGAGGCAAGUCUGGGAACCCAGCAUGCUACAGGUCAAGAAAGGGCAGCUGGAAAGCACAGUGACUGUAAAGCUGCGGUUGACACUUGAUGGAAUUUCUCUGCUGCUCUCCGCCCUGAGCACGGUGCCACGAGCUCUGCUCGCGGGGACGGCCGCGAGCCUGCAGGGCCAGGCUGGGCUCCUGGCUGGGGAUCCACCAGCAGGGACCCGCAGUGGCACGGCACCAGCUGCACUUCUUUGCUCUCACUGGGAAGAAUUAAAGCAGGGAAAGCCUCAGAAGAAAUAAAGUCCAAAAUCAAAUCUUCCCCCUAUUUCUGAAGUUUAACUUACUUUAUGAUGCAACGGCGAAGCUGUGCAGUUAUUUACAGCCAAUGGCAGGCCGCAUGGCCCCUCUCGCUGAGUAGCAGGGAAAUGCUGGGGAAGUGACUGCUCCUAUUGAUUAGCGAGACACGAGAGAGUUAGAGACCCUCAGCACUGCCACUUAAAGUGGGCAGGAAACCCAAAUUGACCAAUAAUAAAGUGUUUGAGGUUGUACGAGGUGGCUCCUGG
rnacentral:lncRNA from 1 species